GAAACAGACAUUAAUACAAUAGUAAACACUUUUUCAGGAAACUUCUGUGUCUCUGUGGAAUUGCAGGAAGUAGGUAAUGUCUGCAGGAAUCUUGUUUCAGUGUCUUUUCUUUGCAAUGCUAUUAUGAUAAACAAACGUACAACUCAGACCGAAGGGUGCAGGCAUCAUGCUUUAAGCUGCAAAUGAAAAACAGUAAUGAUGCAAAGAACUAUAGAUGAUAACGUUGCGUGGGGUUUACCCAAGAAUAUUACACUGCAGAGGAUCAGGAGAAAUGGAGACCCUACCACAGGUCGUCAGCAUCCCCUAACGGAGCAGUUUGGAUGAGAAUCCCAGGACAGACAGCACCAGAUAAAAGAGAAGAUAAGAAAAGGACCCUAAGAUUGGAGUUGAUUGGCACCAGUUAUUGCGUGUUGCUUUGCAACAGAGAAAAGAGCCAAUUGUUUGAUGGUAAAAUGUCACCAAUGAAGCUUGUUCUACAUCCAACUGAAUGUUAUACACAUGGUGAAAAUCCCUGUUGAAAAAAAGGAUUCAAAAUAUGUUGUUAAAUUUUAAUUACUUUUUCAACAUUAAUAGACCAAAAAAGUGGUUUAUCUGACUCCACAGGUUGCUGAAUGGAUUUAUCUGAUGAACAUUUGAGAAGGAAAUUGGAAUGGAUACAACCCUUGAUUUCUAUUGAGCAACAAUUACUGGAAGUGCAAACGUGGAAUGAGAACAUUAUUGUGCCUCAACUAUGAUAUUUCCCACAGUCAAACACCUUCCAAACCUCAAGUCUUACCCUUGACAUGAAAAUCAUUGGAAAAUAAAAAAUGCUACAAAACGCAUUGUGGAAAAUGGUACACUCCAAUGGUAAUGAAUGGUUCAGAACUUUAGCGAUGAAAGUAUAAUGCUGCUCUUCACAUAUUUUGCAUGGGUUCCACAUUUACACAAUGGCCUUUACUUCCCAUCAAUUCUGUACAUCGAAACAAACCUGGUGCAAUUUGACCAAGCCAGCAUUAAAAACUGUAAAAGUUCCAACAUAAAUGAGUUAUGCAAAAAAUUCACAAGUAUUCAGAUUUCUACAAAUUUUUACUUUAGGUGCAAAUUCACAAACUGACCUGAUGUACACACCGGCAAGGCUAAUUGGUUGACAUAUGGUUGAGAAUGACAAGAUCUACUGAUUUGUUGCCAUUCAAGGAAGGUCACCAAAUUCCACUUGUUUCAUUCCAAUGCACAAACACCAGAAAGUACGUGUAGCCAUGAGGCUUCAGCAUUACUGCAGUAAUUAGCCAUUAUGUCAGAAAGGUAAGAGACCUCAGUAAAUAAAUUAGAAAAAAAAAGAGGCUUUAUAUUUGUUAAGUAUCUUCCAUGACCAUAAGAAAUCUCAAUGUGUUUUACAUCCAGUGAAGUAUCUUUGAAGUGUAAUCACUGUUUAGAAAAUUCUGUAGACACUUUGCUCACAGCAAGCUCUCAGAACAGUUAUGUGUUGAUGACUAGAUAAUCUAUUUUUAGGCUAUCAAUUGUGAUCACAAAUCUUGGCUAGGGCAUGAAGGAUAACUCCUCUUCUCUCCCUGAAAUCUAUGCUGUGGGAUCUAUUGUGUCCAGCAAGCAGGAAGGGUGGCACCUUGCUUUAGUACCUUAUCCAAAAGAAAACACCACCUUUAGCAAUGUUCUCCCUCAAUAUUACUUUCUCUGCUCAAGUCCUGGAAUGGAACUAAAAACCUCAAUCUUCUGACUCAUAGGUGAAGUUAGGCUACAACAGACAUUUAGUUAUAUUAAGAUAUU